rnacentral:rRNA from 1 species
UGGGAACGUGCCCAAAGGUACGGAACAACUCCGGGAAACUGGAGCUAAUACCGUAUGUGCCCGAAAGGGGAAAGAUUCAUCGCCUUUGGAUCGGCCCGCGUCUGAUUAGCUAGUUGGCGGGGUAAUGGCCCACCAAGGCGACGACGGGUAGCUGGUCUGAGAGGACGACCAGCCACACUGGAACUGAGAUACGGUCCAGACUCCCACGGGAGGCAG